rnacentral:rRNA from 1 species
GAUGAACGCUAGCGGCAGGCCUAAUACAUGCAAGUCGGACGGGAUUCAGGAGCUUGCUUCUGAUGAGAGUGGCGCACGGGUGCGUAACACGUAUGUAACCUACCUUUAUCAGGGGGAUAGCCUCUCGAAAGAGAGAUUAAGCCCGCAUAAAAUCACAGCACAGCAUUGUGUAAUGAUCAAAUAUUUAUAGGAUAAAGAUGGGCAUGCGGAACAUUAGCUAGAUGGCGGGGUAACGGCCCACCAUGGCGACGAUGUUUAGGGGAUCUGAGAGGAUGGCCCCCCACACUGGUACUGAGCCACGGACCAGACUCCUACGGGAGGCAGCAGUAAGGAAUAUUGGUCAAUGGGCGGAAGCCUGAACCAGCCAUGCCGCGUGCAGGAAGACGGCCCUACGGGUUGUAAACUGCUUUUAUACGGGAAUAAACCCAGAUACGGGUAUCUGGCUGAAUGUACUGUAAGAAUAAGGAUCGGCUAACUCCGUG